rnacentral:rRNA from 1 species
AGUGGCGAAAGGGACAGUAAUGCGUAGAUACGUACCCUCCGGUCUGGGAUAGCUGCGGGAAACUGCAGGUAAUACCAGAUAACGUCUCCGGACCAAAGGUGUGACUCCGCCGGGGGAGCGGUCUGCGUCCUAUUAGCUUGUUGGUGAGGUACGGCUCACCAAGGCGAUGAUGGGUAGCGGGUGUGAGAGCACGACCCGCGUCAUUGGGACUGAGACACUGCCCAGACACCUACGGGUGGCUGCAGUCGAGGAUCUUCGGCAAUGGGCGCAAGCCUGACCGAGCGAUGCCGCGUGCGGGAUGAAGGCCUUCGGGUUGUAAACCGCUGUCAGUGGGGAGGAAGGCUCCGUGGAGAACGGGGCUUGACCUAUCCGCAGAGGAAGUGUGGGCUAAGCUCGUGCCAGCAGCCGCGGUAAGACGAGCCACACAAACGUUAUUCGGAAUUACUGGGCUUAAAGGGUGCGUAGGCGGUGCGACAAGUCGGGUGUGAAAGCCCCCAGCUCAACUGGGGAACUGCGCCCGAAACUGUCGUGCUCGAGGAAGACAGAGGUACGCGGAACUUAGGGUGGAGCGGUGAAAUGCGUUGAUAUCCUAAGGAACACCGGUGGCAAAAGCGGCGUACUGGGUCUUAUCUGACGCUGAGGCACGAAAGCUAGGGGAGCAAACGGGAUUAGAUACCCCGGUAGUCCUAGCCGUAAACGAUGAGCACUUGAUUGAA